rnacentral:lncRNA from 1 species
UUUGGAUCUAUUGGUAUUGAUGCCCCUGGAGUUGUUGCCUUGUUAGGUAUAUACUCCCAUACCUUUUCCUACAUUUUGUUCCUAAGAAUAGGCACAAGAAAUUAAGAUGCAUUGUCCAUAUCUAAACACGGGGUUGUACUCAGAACUCACACCCUGUAUAAGCACUUAAAAUAGUUUCAGACAAUUCUACUGCUGAAACUAGCUUAGCAUUCCCUUAGGAAUAUUAAAUUGAUCAUCUUAGAAUUUUAGCAGUACUUUUACAUACCUGAACAUAUUUCUAGCAAAGAAAAGAAGGGCUGAAUUAACUUUGCUAUUAAUCUAUGGGUGAAGGUGCUCACAGUGUGGGCAGAACCCACUGUGUGAAGCUGGUUCACCGGCUAUACCCAGAGGUUGAUCCAGCACUCCCAGCUUCCCAUGUAGAGCACAUGCUCAAGAAGUGCCCUGACACGAUCCCUGAUCCAAAGGCAGUCCAGUAUGUGAGAAAUGACCGUGGGACACCCAUGAUACUGGACAACAAUUACUACAGAAACAUAUUGGACAACAAAGGAUUAUUGCUCGUGGACCACCAAUUGGCUAAUGACAAAAGAACCAAACCCUACGUCAAGAAAAUGG